rnacentral:lncRNA from 1 species
UCCAACGAUCUCACAUCAGAUAAUCCCAUUCUCCUUUCCAUCAAGAAAAUAAUAAUAAUAAUCAGUUUCGGAACCAUGGAGCCGGAGAGCAACUUCCCGUCCCCUUCUUCUCCGUCGCUCAUAUCCUAAUACAACCCAUAGAAAACAAGAUCAUGUUUGUAAUCGGGAGCUACAUCAUGUACGACGACGACGAAGCUAUCGGCCGUGAUUCUGAUUCCCAAAGUAAACGCCGUCUCCCUUUCUCUCAUCCGUAAGGUAUCAAAAUCCUCUUUCUUUCUCUGUUUUUUAAAAUGCUUUUUGUUUUCUCAAAAGCUUCUUUUUGGGGGGGAAGAGGGAGAUUCUAUAUUGCCCGGAUUGAUUAUAAGACAAAUUCAUAAUGUGAAAACAAGUAGAACAGCGUCCAGUCAUUGAUCGUUAGCGAUCGUAACGUUUCAUUUGUCUUUUUAUACUUAUGAUUUACUUAGUCCACUCAUAAAUAAUCAAUCCGGUAAUUUUAAUCGACUUCUUUCUCUCUGUUUUAAAAAUGUUUUUUUUUUGUCAAAAGCUUUUUUUGGGGGAAAUUCUAUAUUAGUGGACUGAUAGACACUAAAUUCAUAAUGUGUAAACAAAUAGAAUGUCGUGUCCAGUCAUUUAUUUGUCCGUUAGAGAUCAUUAAUUUCUUUCAUUUUGCCUUUAUACUUAUGGUCAUUUUAGUCACUCAAAAUCAGUUCGGCAAUUAAGAGUUUCCCCCAUUCGUAUUUUCAUGGUUUCCUUUUCAAAUCUUUUGCUUGUUUGUUGUGUUGUGUGUUUCUUGUUUUUUCGUGUUUGCUUGUUUGUCGAGUUAGAAAUCAGUGAUGCUGUGUUAUGGAACUUGACAUUGAAGCCUUAUCUGGAUAUGGGUUUUUAAAGAAGAAGCUGUCGUCGACCUCUCUUCUGCAUAUCAUACAAGUUAUGUUACAAACUUAUAGUUCAUCGAUGUAUUGCGCUGAAAUUAGGACUUCAUUUGAUGCUCACCGUGGCCAAUGAAUAUGUAAUGUUGCCAUUACACAUGAUGUGUUAUUAAUUUUAUUAUCUGAAGAACUCCUGCCAUAAAUGAUAUUUGUGAUCUUGAUGAUACGAUGUUUCUUUUAGACUGACAAGAAAAGAACUAAAAAGUAAAGACUAUAGAAAUUACAUAAAAUAGACUUAUUAUUAUUUUAAAAGUAUUUAUUUAGACUUACACAAUCAUCUAAAAUUAUACUAACAAUAGUUUUAAAACAACCUUUUAUCAAAAAAAAAAGUUUGAAAGUUAAAUGAUAUAUUAUUAAUUUUAUUCUCUAAAGAACUCAUGCCAUAAAUGACACGUGUGAUUUUGAUGAUACGAUGUCUCUGUUAGAUUGGUAAGAAAAAGACUAAAAAGUAAAGACUAAAUUACAAAAAAUAGACUUAUUAUUAUUUUUAGAAUAUUCAUUUAGACUUACACAAUCAUCUAAAUUUAUAAUAUAUAACAAAAGUUUGAAAACAACCUUUUGUCAAAAAGAAAAGUUUGAAAACAACCUUCAUUUCAUUUCCAGUGUGAUCUUACCAAAACUUUAUAAAAAGAAGUUGUCGGGUCAUUUCAUUGGUACACUUUCAGGGAUCUUAACAAAUUUCUAUACCAAAAUCAAAAGUCUAAAUGCAAAAUUAAUUAAAAUUUUGUUCUAUUUCAGCACAAAAUACUAUGGUAUUGAAACAAAAAAUACUAUGGUUAAAUGUGGAGAAGUAAAUACAAUCUAAUAUAAAAACUCAAUCGAAUAAAUAUUAUAUAUCUAAAUUACAUAUAUCUAAACUAAAAUAUUAUAAUAUAUAUAAUACAAAAUAAUUUAAAUAUAAUUGGAAUAUUAAUAACUUUUAUCAUAUAUUUUUUAAUACUUUUAUAUCCAUGCAUGAGCACGAGAAUAAUUAAUAUGUGUUGUCUAUGAACUUCCUCGUAUAGUUUUAAAAUCCAAAAAAUUACUUGACAUUAUUCCUCUUGAUUGGUUUUAGAAGGAAAAAAAUUUGCCAUCCGAAAAAAAAGAUGGGAGAUAGUUGGAUUACUCCUCGAUAAUUUAGACUUUCUCUCAUUUAUAUAUAAAUAUGUUUUAAAUUUCUAUUAGCUAAUAAACAUUACUUGACAUUAUUCCUCUAGAUUGGUUGUAGAAGGAAAAAAAAUUGUCAUCCAAAAAAGAAGCUGGGAGAUAGUUGGAUUACUCCUUGAUAAUUUAGACUUUCUCUCAUUUAUAUAUAAAUAUGUUUUAAACUUCUAUUAGCUAAUAAAAAUUUAAUCAUUUAUUAUUCUUUAAGCGUAUCAUUCUAGUAUUUAAUGUGAGAUCUCAAAUGCAAAAUAUCAUUUCAAAAAUAUUAAUGUAUAUGUGUUAGAUAUUUAGAAAUUAAAAAAUAAUGUAUGAUAUAGUUAUAGUUUAUAAAUCAUUAUUUUACUUUAAUUUUGAAAAAGAUCACAUUAUCAUAUAUAGACUCUUUAAAAACUUAGAAUGAAUUCUAACAAUUAAAAUUUACAUUUAAAUGGUUACCAUUUUAAUAAAUACCAUAAUUUUAUUAUGAAAAACAAAAAAAAAUUAACUCUCAUAAAUUAUUUAUAAAUGUUUAAAAAUUAUUUAUAAAAAAUUAUAAACUCAGCCUCACCAACUAAUUACUAAAUUAUAAACAAUAUGCACUAAACUUUAAAACAUAAAUAUUAUAAUAUUUUUGAUUGAGUGUAUUUUUGAAAAUUUUGUAUCCAAUUUAAUAUUAUGCAAGCAAUUUCUCAAAAUUUCACUCGCCUUUCCAUGAAAUAUGAUUGUGUACUUCCAUUUAUAUUUCAUUAGUUUUGUGUUGGAUAUUCACCGGUACUUUUAAUUUUAAAUUUCACUAAGAACUAAAAUAUUAAAUAUAUAAAUAAAUAAAAAUCAUUUUAUCCAUAAGAUUGCUACAUGGUAAACAAUUAAGUUUUCAUUAUUUUUAUUUUCAAAUUUUACAUGAAAUUUGGUACUAAUUCUAAUAUAAUAUUUUAUCAAUUCACUUUAAUGAAGAAAAAGGCAAAAGACAACCGACAUAUCAAUAUUUGUUAUUUUUAUUUAGAUUUGGCAACUUAAUACACUUUAUUAUGCUACAAAACUAACAACAAUUAAUAAUAUUGUUAUUUUUUCUUUGAUAAAGUCAUGUAUUAUUAUAAAUAUUAUUUGAGUUUUAAUGUAGAUAAAAAAUCAGGGUUAACAACUAUAAAGGCAUACGCAGUCACUCUUUCNNNNNNNNNNNNNNNNNNNNNNNNNNNNNNNGCAGUCCCCCUUUCCUGUGCUUUGUUUAGUGCAAAAACUAUCCCCUUUCCUUUUUUUGAUACAUUCAGUUCUACAUUGAGUAAUAUCACAUUCUCCUUUAUUGAUUGGGUACAUGUCGAUACAAGUUUUUGGUUUUGACGGUGGUCCUCUUUUCUGAGCAAUCGUCAUUACUCCUGUUAUUACAAUAGUUAAAAUAUAACUUCAGUUUUCAUAUUUAAAAAAGAAAAUUAGUAUUUUUGGUUAAAAGAGUUUUUUUUUAUAUAGGAAAAGAAAAACUUCAACUAUGAACAUCUCUUUCUUAGUCAUUGAUUAUUUUGGGUACAUUGCUAAACUCAAGAUUAUAGAAUUCAAUAUACAAAUUUUAUAGGUAUAUAAAAUAAUAUGAUAUCACAAUAACUUUAAUUUUAAAUAAUUGUACAAUAUAAUAAUAAAAUUUAAAAUGCAAAUACAAAUACAAAUACAUACCGAAAAGAAGAAUUGUGAGCAUAACACGACCAAUAAGCGGAGGUUGAAAAGCAUUUUUCAUCUUUGAUAAUUAAAUAAAUGUGUUUUAAAAUUACAAACACAGAUAAUUAUAUUUAUAGAUGAAUCAAAAAUUGAAACAUAUCUAAUUUAAGCUAUGUAUCUUCUAAAAUUCCGAUAUAAAAGGAUCUAAUUUGACCAAAAUGUUUUUUCAAAAUUUCUAGUUUUUAUUUGUAUGAUAGAUAAAAAAAUUUUGACUUGGUUAAAUUUAAAAUAUUUCUUGAUAUACAUAAAAACCAACCAAUUUCCAUUAAGUCACACAUUCAAAAAAUACAAAACAAGAACUAUUAAGCCGAUGGAUAAAUUUUUGGGGGUUUUGCAAAAAUGACUCAAAACAAAACGUUAAAUGCAAAAUUAACCCAUGAUUUUUUUGGAACUUUCAUUUUCUCUAUUCACUUUAAAAGUUUGGAUUAUUCAUGAAAAUGCCUUUUUUUUUUUGAAAUUGCUUGAUUUACUCAGUCAUCCUUAUAUUCGUCUUUUAUUUACAACAUUGCUAUUAUUAUCAAUACACCAAUAACCAUGAAAAACCAAUGUCAAGCUUUAAAUGCACCUAAAAUCAACAUCUCCAUUUUUAUAUUCUUAUUUCUUACACACACAAACCAUUUCCCUUUCAGUUUCUCUCUUAUUUCAUCCCAACUUUUUAUUUCACAAUUUAUAAGCUUAUUAGAAUUACUCAAGUUCAUGAUUUUUUAUCAAGAACUAGUGGGUAAAUUUCACUAAGAAAUGAUGUGUGUUUGAAGAAAGUAAACAUGAACCUCACUAGAUCUAAGACUGAUUUUUGAAUUUUUACAGAUCUGUUCGCUAAGAGUACAAAAGUCUCCUCAUCAAUGAAUAUGUUAGUUUUACAGUUGACUUUCUCUGUGUUUUUUAAAGACGAUUUCUCUUGAAAUCUUAAAACUUAUUUUGUUAACAACAAAGAAAUGAGAAGACUUCCACAAGUCUUUUCUGACAUCUUUGAGAUUUUUUUUUUUCAAAACCAAAAGUAAGCCAAUAUUUACAAAAAAAAAAGACUUUCAGUUUGUAAAUUUGCAAUUGGGAAAAUGACUUAAAUGGUAGACUUCCAAGAAGUCUUAUGUCAGAAGACUUCUAAAAGUCUUUAAAAAUCUCUAGGUCAAUGUUUAAUAAAUUUUCAUUUUCUCUAAAAUUAAAAAAACUUUAUAAUGUUUUCUUAUUAAUUCAUGUAUAUUAGUCAAUGUCUGAAUUCCUGAAUGAAAUUCAUAACUUAAGUUAGUGAUAAUUACGAAGUUAGUAAUUUUCAUGUUUAUUAAUGUUUCUAGCUAAUGAGAGAAUACUUUUGGGGGAGUCUUCUAUGUUAGUUUUUGUAAAACUUGUAUUUUCAACUUCAACAUAUGUUUUUUAGCUUUCAAUAGUGUUAAGUAACUUCAUGAAUAUCAACUCAUGUGGCUUAAUGUGUUUUCUUAGAUCAUAAGAUAUACUCCCUCCGUUUCAAUAUAGAUGAUGUUUUAGAAGAAGUAUUUUGUUUCAAUUUACAUGAAGUUUUGAGGUUUUAAGGUUAACUUUAACUUUAUUGGAAACUGUUCAACCAAUUAAAUUUUACUGUCUUUUUUAUAAUUGGUUAAAUGAUUUAAAAACUAUAUACUUUUAAUAUACUUUUUUUAAAUCUAACUUUCUUAAUCUUUGUGCACUAAGGCAAAACAUCAAGUAUUAUGAAACAGAGGGAGUAUUUUUUAAGAUUUAAAAUAAAAUUUAAGUUUCCCGCAUAAAUUUUAAUUUUCCGCUUAUAUUUGAAUUUUCUGCUUAAAAUUUAAGUCUUCCGAGAAGACUUCUCAUAUGUUUUAAUUUUUCGCUUAAACUUUCGAGAAGUCUUCUAGUCAAAGUAUUAUAUGUUUGAACUUAUGUAAUGUUUGAUUUUUUGUGAAUAUGAUUAAGUUUUCUUGAGAAGUGUUCUCCUUAAUUUUAGUAAAUUUGACUAAAUUUUUGUGUUAUUGUGUUUUGCUAUUGAAGUUAGAUCAAUAACUUCAAUAAUGUCAAGUACUUUUGGUAAAAUAAUUUUGUAGACAUGAACAUAUUUACCAAUCUCUUUUCAUUAACAUCUCUUUAGAUUUACAAAAGAAUCUACAACAAAAAAGUAUACAUACAAAUCACAAAACAGAUCAUAAACAAAAUUAUUACAUAUAGAGUUAGAGAAUAUUCCUCCACAAAGACUUUCUCGAAGAAUGAUCUGAAAAGUCUUCUACUGCAUUAUAUGUUAAAAGACUUCCGAGAAUAUUUCUCACAAGUCUUCCAAAACCUGACUCAGCUCUAAAAAAUCUGCAUAUCCAAAAACGUUCAAAUGACUUCAAAACAUAGAAAAUGAGUGGAAGAUGAGCUAGAUUACCUUAAUAAAAAUCACAAAAAUACAUAUCCAAAAUUUAUAGAUCUACUUUUAAAUGAGUGGAAGAUGAGAACCAUGUAAUAAAAAAUGUUCAAAAACAAGAUAGAUUAGUAAGAAAGACAUAACACAAAAAAUGAGAAAUUAAUGUAAAAUUUGGUGUUUUCAAGAUUAAAGAGAUUAGAGAGAGGUUGGAUAAUUUUAGUUUGAAAAAGAUAAGAGGUUGAAGUAACAAAAAGUUAUUAAAACAGACAUUGUGACUUACCAAUCUUUGAUUAAAAGUUUUUAAAAAAUCCAUUUUAAAAAGAUAAUUUUAAAUAAUAUAAUUUAUAUUUUAAAAAUAAUAAGUAUUUUAUUUAAAUCAUUUUUUCUCAAAUUAUUAAAAAAUAAUUUAAAUAAAAUAAAUUAAGGUAUAUUUAAUGAAUACAAAAGAUUUUUCUUUUUCUUUUUAAUUUAAAUUUAAAUUUCUGUUUUAUAUUUUCCAAAUAACAUUUAUAAUAAAAUACAUUUAUAAAAUUUAAAGCGAAAAUAUUUUUAUACGUAAUGUGAUUUCAUUAAAAAAAAAGUUUACAAAAAUAAUCUUGGCAUUAAAGUAAAUUAACGAAAACCAUAUUAUUAAAAAAUCAAAAUAUACUUACCUAAGAUGAAAAACCAAAUUAAUGCAAUGAAUACAAUUAGUUUGAUUUGGCUGAAUUAGAUUAAAAAUAAUUGUACUUUAAUUUGAAGGAAUAUGCGUAAGUCGAUCAAUCCAAAUUCUUUUAUUUAAAAAAAAAGAAAAAUUAAGAUUUGUUUGUUGCACAUAUCACUUAUUGUUAAUUACGGCCAUUUAUUAUGUCGACGGUUUUCUAAAUCCAUAAACCUUGUAACAAUCACGAAUGAUUUGUGCAUCGUAACAAGAAAAUUAGGUAAACAUUGCAUGAUAUUAAAAAAGAAAAAUGGUAAAAAGAAACAACAUAUGUUCGAAAGAGUUGGUUGAAUACUAGAAAAAAAAAAUGAAAAACUGGUCUCGAGAUGAUUCAGAAAGAGAGAGAGAGGGGUCAAAAAUCAAAUACGAAACUUGCAAACCAAGUAACCUUUUCUUCCUCUUCUUCAAAGAAGAUCGGCUACGUUUGAUGGAAGCUCCUCAACAACCACAUUGUAAAACUUCUGAAUAUCAAAAAGCAUCCUCUCAUCGUCCUUGGUCACAAAGUUAAUCGCCACACCUUUCCUCCCAAACCUCCCACUCCUACCAAUACGGUGAAGG